rnacentral:lncRNA from 1 species
UCCUUCAUGCGCCUCAUCCAGCGGUACCUGCUCUUGACCUAUGGGGGGUGUGAGACAGCAAGGGUGAGCUCACAUAUGUUCAUCGCUCAACAAGUUGUGGGGAAUAAUGUGCAUGAACUCACCAAAAGUGGGAGCUCAUGUGAAGUGUAAGGCUUACCAAAGAGGAUGGUUGAAGCUAAGCAUAGCUUUUAAAGUUGGUCAAAAUUUUAUUAGUAGUUACUAAGUAUAAGUAGAUACCAAAGCAGAGUAAUAAUAGAUCAAAAUUAAUAAUAAACCACAAUGCGAUGCAAAUGACAAAUUGAAUUUAAUUCCAUAAAUUAAUCAUGCGUGAGUCCUGAGCUGCUCAUGACCGCGAGCACGACUAGUAUACCAGUUUUACACUCUACAGAGGUUGCGCCCUUUACCCACUUCCAAGGUGAAUGGCUAGGGAUCCACUACGAGGCCUUUACAAAGUUCCACUAGCUUCAGAAAACUCGCUACAGUUUCUAGGAAGAGCAAUGCAGGAAUCCCCCGUCUAACCGCCAUCGUAGCAAAAUCAACCCAAGAACCUCCCUACAUGCCUACUCCCCUACUGCCCUUGCCCCUUUCGGGUAAGGUAGUCCUCCACUAGCUUUCCUAAUUAGUCAGCCAAGGGCGUUCCAUUCCACCCUUGUGGUGGCAUGCGUUUCUCAAGUUAAGCUCCAUGUUCCAAUUCACACAAUAAUCUUGUCAUUAACAAUAAUUAAAACAACAAUAUAAUUGGAACAUGAUCAUAAUAUAAUAUUAAUCCCAAAACCAGAUAGAGCAAUAGCAUAACUACCCAAAAGUUCAGUGGUAAACAAGGUAUGAGAUAAACAAGUCUAGGGAAACCUAUUAGGUCCCAUCAGAUUAACCUGAGCAUGUCAUAGUGAUUAACAGUAACAAUAUUGGGUAAAUAAAAGUGAUCAAGGGCACAACUUGCCUGGGACUUGAGAUUCCAGGUACCAGGAUGAUCUCCAGAUUCUCGUGACCUCACUACUAGUUAUAGCAAUACAAACAAAGAUAGUACAUGCAAAAUUAACAUCACACCAAACAUAAGAACAAACUGCAUAAUAAUAAUCUACGCAUUGUACCGAGAAUCUAGGUUCGAGAACCACGAAAAUUGGGGUUACAGUAAAAAAGAUGUAGUAUUCCAAAGUUUUAGGUGAUUAAAAAGUAAUUAUUUUAUUCUCUAUUGAUUAAUACAAGUCAGAAAGGUUAUGACAAUGUUGGAACUUGCUCUCCAGUGCAAGGUGAUCCAACGGGGGUGUGAAGUGACGUAAACAGGGUUUUCGCCCGAGAUGGCAAUAGCUCUGUUAAUCUAGCCUCUCAAGGGCGCUGUGCGGGGGUAUUUAUAGGUAUCCGGGUGCCCAGCGUCCCGUGUUAAGGACGCAUGUGCCCUCAGACACCUAGGUUAUCCCCAGAAUAUUCUCGUAAAGCGGGGUUACAGACCGUAAUUACAGGGAGGCCUUUACAAAUUAGGCCCGUAACGCGCAACGGCCACGCAGGGCCUGUUACAAUGGGCCGGAUCACACACGGGCCUCCAUUCUGGACGAGGUCGCAGGAUGAGACGACCUCGUCGCGGGUCUUCGUCCGGCGGCGUAUGAGACGAAGGGUAAGUCUGCCCGUUGUCUUGUCACCGUUGGUGCAGCGAGUACGGUGAAGGCCUCGAGCGAAGGGUGGCGUCUUCGCCUUCGCCCCAACAUUUGCCCUCCGAGGGACCAGUUCGAAUAAGUCACCUGGUGCCGAAGACGUCGCUAGAUGGCGGAGACGCUGCCCUCGCUUGAAGUGGUUCCGCGGGGGUUUUUGACAUGACCGUUGAUUGACGCCGUACUGUUGGAUUGCGGGUUUCCCGAAGCGCCGCGCCCUGUGUAUAAAAGGGGACGGGGGCGGCACGUUUUGAACUUUAUCUUUCCGCGCUCCGCGAAAACCCUAACCGCCUUCUCAAACCUCUUGCUGCUCGUCUGCCCUCCUUGCUCUUGUUCGUUGGAGAUCUGGCCCGUGUGAAGCAUACCGCCCACCGCCGUCGACGGUACGUAGCGAUGCCGACCUCUUCUUCUUCUGCUGCCGCUACGCCGCCGGCCGACGCGUCGUCUGAGGAGACGCUGAGCACUGUGGCGGCGGAGGAGUUGCGCGCCGGCGACACGGUGGAUUUCGGUGUGUUGCGGAUGUCCUUGGUCCGCGUGCAAGAUAUGCAGCAGCUUGGUUACUUUGGCGGUGGAGUCGCUCGUGUCCCGGGGAUGGAGGAGGUCCCCGAGCCAGAAGGCGAGUUGGUUGUCUUCGAGGUGUUCUUUGCCGCUGGUCUUCGCCUACCUGCACACCGAUUCGUGGGAGAAGUCCUGCGCAGAUUUAACGUCCAGAUCCACCAGCUGACUCCGAAUGUCGUGGUGGCUCUGUCGAAAUAUGUCUAGGCGACGACUUCGUAUGGCGGACAGCCAUCGGUCGAAGUCUUCGUGAAGUACUAUUGCCUGCACUGGCAGAAAAGGAUGAUCGGAAAUAAGGUUGCUCAGUUUGGGUCUUGUACAUUUACGCCGAAGACCGGCAAGACCUCGAUGGAGGUAGUUGAGUUGGUUCCUUGCGCCCGCAAUAAAUGGGGCAACUGGCAUGAGUUUUGGUUCUAUGUUGCGGAGGGCACAGUCGAAGACCAUCCGGGGCUCCCCGUGGCCGAGAUGUGCUCGCAUUAUUACUCAGCAUACCCGCAGUUUGAAGUGGCGGAGGAGGAUGCAGACGAAGGGGCCCUUCGGUGCGCGGCCAGCCUGAGCAGCGGGCGCGAUUUGGUUGAGGACUUUAUGGCGUAUGGGGUGUGGCCUUUGGCGCAUGGCUGGGCGCUGGGCGAAGUAUGCCCUCGCCAGAUGCCUUCCCAUGGUGGGAUGCUGGUGCGAAGUCCCGCCUUCGCACUGGAUCUGCAUAGCCGCGAUCCGGCCACCUUUGUGCGUGAGGCGGAGGAUGGGGCGGUGCGGAUUGUUGGUCGGUACGUGCCGAAGACAGAGGUCCAGCGUAGCUGGGAUAUAUGCGGGUCUAAUGACCGCUUGAACAGGGUCUUCGAGUUGAACCGUCUGCCGUAUGGCGGUUAUCCCGGGCAAGACGAUGUGGAUCGUCGCGGGAAGAAGCCGGCGGCAGAGACUGAAGACGACCCCGUGUCGGCGGCCGCCCCAUCCUCUAAGAAGAGGAAGCUAGGUAUUGCUACGGGAGGACUGGGGGUUUCCGAUGGUUUUGCUAGGGAAUUGAUGAGGACAUGCGCGGCCCCAGGGGGAAGGAUGUCUUCGCCCGAUCUCCGGGAGUCUUCGGCGCGAAUGCUGAGGGUUACCGGGGGUUGGUGGCCUAAGAAUGUUCCUAUCCCCCGCGCGGCCGGCGAAGACUUUUUUACAUCUCGCAUGGUUCAUGAUUGGAUAGUGUUUCCUUAUGGGCAGAAUAUUGCUGCUGUUGUGUCGGCAGUGAUGGACAAGGAUCGUCAGGGAGCUACGCAGAAGCGUCAGGCGGUCGUCAGGCUGCAUGAGGCCAGGCUGAAGAGGUCGCGGGGGACUGCGAAGGCUGCUGCCCCCGGCGGAAGCCAACCGACGCUGGCGGCGAAGUCGGCCGCCCCUGGGUCCAGCAGGGUGCCGGAGGCUGUGAAGGCGGCCGCCGCCGGCGGUACCAAGUCUGUCCCGGCCAGCGCUGCGAAGGCCCGAGAGCUGCCUCCGCCGGGCAAGCGUGUUGCCGACUUCGCCACCGAUAUUAGCGUGGAUGACUAUCUUGUUGGUAAGUCGUUAUCUCGAGUUUUUUUAAUCUGUUGAUACGUUGCAGGGUCGGGCGAAGGCCAACUUGUUGUUGUUCCGCCUGUCGUGGCGACCGCGGCGGCUGCCGUGGUGCCUAGGGCGAAGGGUAGUGCUCUUAGUGCCGGUGGUGAGAUUCCGGCACUCACUGCCGUCAGGGACGAGGCGGGCGCUGUGUCCCACCGGCUGAAGGAGGCAUUAAGUCAGGUAAGUUGAGCUAGACUUCGGUUUUUACCAGCUUCGUUGGGGUUGUGGUCUUAUGUGUGUCUUGUAGGCGGCUGACUUCGCAGACCGCGCGGCAUCGGGGGCCCUUACGACAGUUGUGUCUGCCGAAGUCGAGAGACUUCGGGCGCAACAUGCUGACGCCGUCCGGGAAAAGUCGGCCGCCGACAGCAAGUGCCGCAAGUUGGCAGAUAAGGUGGCCGCGCUGGAGGGUGAGAGGAAUGACCUCCGGCGCCAACUGGCGGAGGAGAGGAAGGAGGCUAAUGAGGCCCUCGCCAAGGCGCAGUCUGCGCAGGCGAAGGCCAAUUUGGCGCAGGCGGAGGGCAGUCUUGCUAGACAGCGCGCCGAGGAAUUGGAGGAGCGGUUCAACGCUCUGCAGACCCGUGUGGAGAGGGUCGAGGCUUCGACGCGCUCGGAGGCUGAGCGAACACGCAAACAGCUUAUGGACUCAUACCAUGAGCUGGGCGCGCGGACCGCUGACUUCGAAGUGCCAGACCGAGAGCCCAGACUUCGCUGCCUCGAGUGGCUGUAGGAGGAGUUGCUGGCGCUCCCCGCCAUCGUGGAGGGGUUUAUGUCCUAUGCCUCCCUGGUCACCUGCGAAGGGGCGAUGAACGAGCUGUCCCGCGAAGGGUGCCGGCACUAUGAGGUCUUCGACCAAGCUGAUGAGGAUUUCGAGCGCGAGAUUUUCAAGGUUGAGGACCCUGUGGUGAAGGAAUCCGCGGGAGCCCUCUUCGACCGGAUGUGGGGCCCUCACGGUCGGGAGGUGGUCAGGGAGCGGUCCGAGACGGCGAGGGGUCAGGUAAUGUUUGACUUUUGUUUGGUGUUGUUGAAUGUGGGUUAUAUGUGGGUUUGCUGAAUCUGUGUGCUGUGUCUCAGGCGGCACGUAACGAGAAGGUGAAGGACUUCGAGGCUUUGAACAGCGCGCAGCCUGAUUCGGAGUCGAACCCGGUGGCGGCUGUGUCCAAGGCCGCCCCAGCGCUGCCCCCAGAAACCGUCGAAGGCGCCCCUGAAGCCCCCGCAGCCACUGCGACCGGCAGUGGCUCGUCGCCAACUGCUGCGCCGAGGGCUGAGGAUCCUGUGAAGAUGGCGGCGGAGCCGGCAGCGGAGGAUCCCGCGACGGCUGGGUCUUCGCAGGUGGCUUAGUGGGUGUGGGUAGUUAGGGAAUUUUGCAUAUGUUGCUGAACCUUGGUUGCUGCGCAGGUUCAAGAUUUUGGGCCUGCGCACGCAACCGCUACUGCUAAUUUUUUGGCGGCUUCGACCGUGGAUGACGGGAAUGAAUCGGAUGAAUCUGCGUCUAAGUUUUCUGAUUUUGGUGACUUUGGGACUUCGGUUGAGUGGACUGAAGAGUCGUCGGAUGAGGACUUGGAUUACUUUGCAGCCUUGGAUGUGGCAGCAGCGGAGGCUUCGCCGCGUGCUGUGGAUGCUGAAGUUGUGCCUGGUCCAAGUGCUGGGCGCAGGCGGCGAAGUGCGGUUGCGAAGCGUAGAGUGAGUGAGGCGGACGGCGGUCGGCUUCGUGUGGGCAGGGUUGGCAGGCAGGAGCUGUUGUCCUUGCCGGCCGCUGUGAGUGCAGGUGAGGGGGAGCUGCGAAGUCUUUUUGCGGGUGAGGAGCUGAGGAUAAUGCUAUUUAACUAUAGGGAGAUGGGAAUUAUUCCGAAGGUUGAGCCGAUGUAAAGUGUGAUGCCCUCGCUUGUACAUAUAUAAUGGCUUGUAUGAUGAGGUUAUGUGCCUUCGCACAUUCGGCUAUGCUCACGAAGGCGUUGCGCACUUGGUCUGGUGUAUUUGUUAUGUCGGUCUGGCGCGUAUGUAGUCGGUCUUUGCGCGGACAAUUUGGUGUAGUCUUUUUCGCACUUGUUGUGCCUGGUCCGGUUGCACCCUUAGGCGACUUUUGCACGGAUAGUCUUCGCGGAAGACUUCGAUUUUUCGCACUUGUUGUGCUAGUCCGGCUGCACCCUUAGGCGACUUUUGCACGGAUAGUCUUCGCGGAAGACUUCGAUUUUUCGCACUUGUUGUGCUAGUCCGGCUGCACCCUUAGGCGACUUUCGCACGGAUAGUCUUCGCGGAAGACUUCGAUUUUUCGCACUUGUUGUGCUAGUCCGGCUGCACCCUUAGGCGACUUUCGCACGGAUAGUCUUCGCGGAAGACUUCGAUUUUUCGCACUUGUUGUGCUAGUCCGGUUGCACCCUUAGGCGACUUUCGCACGGAUAGUCUUCGCGAAAGACUUCGAUUUUUCGCACUUGUUGUGCUAAUCCGGCUGCACCCUUAGGCGACUUUUGCAUUGGAUAGUCUUCGCAGAAGACUUUGAUUUUUCGCACUUGUUGUGCUAGUCCGGCUGCACCCUUAGGCGAAUUUUGCACGGAUAGUCUUCGCGGAAGACUUCGAUUUUUCGCACUUGUUGUGCUAGUCCGGCUGCACCCUUAGGCGACUUUUGCACGGAUAGUCUUCGCGGAAGACUUCGAUUUUUCGCACUUGUUGUGCUUGUCCGGCUGCACCCUUAGGCGACUUUCGCACGGAUAGUCUUCGCGGAAGACUUCGAUUUUUCGCACUUGUUGUGCUAAUCCGACUGCACCCUUAGGCGACUUUCGCACGGAUAGUCUUCGCAGAAGACUUCAAUUUUUCGCACUUGUUGUGCUAGUCCGGCUGCACCCUUAGGCGACUUUCGCACGGAUAGUCUUCGCGGAAGACUUCGAUUUUUCGCACUUGUUGUGCUAGUCCGGCUGCACCCUUAGGCGACUUUUGCGCGGAGUGUCGCACGCGAGGGUAGCUAGCGCUCGGCCUCGUGGUGACUUUGUAUUGGUCGAAUGUGGGAGAUCGUCGGCGCGGUCUUUUUUCGACGUAGAUUUUUGUGGGGGAUUUUUCACUUGUAUAUUACAUGACUCUGCCUCGUUAAAAACCUCACCCCCCGGGAGGAAAAGAGUGCGGGCCAGAAUAAAAUUGUUUUUGUGAAUUACAAGGGCGAGCUGGCCCUGAUGAGUCAAACAAAAAAUUUGCGGAGAUUAUCGAUGUUCCAGGAAUGCUCCAAGUCUUCGCCGUUUGGCAUUGCGAGCCUGUAUGCGCUGGGGGAGGCCUUCGUCUUGACAAUGAAAGGGCCCUCCCACUUGGGCUCCAGCUUGCCCCUGGACUCUGUCCGAGCUAUUCGGACGAGUACGAGGUCCCCUUCGCUAAAUUCCCGCGGGAUGACUGCGAGGUUGCGCCAUGCUUUUGUCUGGGCUUGGUAUUUAUUUAGAGCCUGUAGAGCAAAGACGUGGUCUCCGUCGAUAAGAUCCUUCGAAGUGGGUUCGUCCACGUCGGGGACAGCUGACGCAACUGUUCGCGGGGACCCAUGCUUUAUUUCUUGUGGGGUCAUGGCCUCCGAUCCAUAUAGAAGGCAGAAAGGGGUGAACCCAGUCGCCCUGCACUCAGUCGUGUUUAGUGCCCAGACCGCUUCAGGUAACAAGUCGGCCCACCUGCCCUUUUUCGUCGAGGAGCAUUUUCUUGACAGCUGUGAAAAUUUUUCCAUUGGCGCGUUCCACAACUCCGUUGGACUGCGGGUGAUAUACUGAGGCGAAGGCAAGCUUGGUGCCAAUGGAGAAGCAGAAAUCCUUGAAGUCUUGGCUGUCAAACUGCUUGCCGUUGUGAACUGUGAGUUCGGACGGUACUCUGAAGCGGCAAACAAUGUUUUGCCAAAAGAAUUUCUGUGCAGUCUUUGAUGUUAUUGUGGAAACAGCCCUCGCCUCGAUCCAUUUGGUAAAGUACUCGAAAGCGACGAAGGUGAACUUGAGGUUCCCCUGAGCCGUGGGCAGGGGCCCGACGAUGUCCAGGCCCCAGCGCUGGAGAGGCCAUGUGUGGGCGAUCAGUUUUGUGAAUUGCGAGGGGCUGCCUGAUCGAGGAGAAAACUUCUAGCAGGCUUCGCAGGACCUUGUGACCCGAUUUGCGGCGCAGAUCAUUGCGGGCCAGUAGAAACCUUGGCGGAUCACCUUUGCGGCUAGGGCCCUUGGCCCUGCGCGAGAGCCACAAGUACCACCGUGGACUUCGCGCAGUAUUUGGACGCCUUCGGUCUCGGUGACACAUUUAAGCAUUGGCUGGCUGACCCCCUUCUUGUAGAGUUGGCCCUCAAUCAGUGCGAAGUCUCGGCUUCGAUGUUUGAGGCGCUUGGCCUCGUUGAUGUCGGUUGGGUGGUAGUACCCCUGUAGGAACAGGGUUAUUGGUGCCCGCCAGUCUUCGGUCAUAAUAAGGUUGACUAUGCGGUGGCCCUCGCUGUCAUUGGUUAUUUGGAGCCCUUCGGGGCUCCGGACGGCUGGCGUGCCGAUAACAUGGUAGAACACGUCGGAGGGCAGGGACUCGCCUCUAGCAGUAGCCUUGGCCAAUGCGUCCGCUUCUUCAUUCUUGGCCCGGUCCACAUGCUGCAAGGUGAAUCCCUUAAAUUGUCUCUCGAGACUUCGGAUGGCCGCGAGGUAUUGCAUAAGUGCGGGGUCCUUUGCUGCAUAGUCUUUCUUGACUUGGCCGGCGACUACCUUGGAGUCUGUUCUGACAAUGCAGGUGGUGACACCGAGGGCCCUCAGCUUGCGGAGGCCGAGGAUGACGGCUUCGUAUUCUGCUAUGUUGUUUGUGCAUCUCUCAGAUUCCAGAGCGAAGCUGAGGCGUGCCGCGUAUCUGUGCUUGACCCCGGCGGGUGAGGUGAUGACUGCAGCGGCGCCUGCCCCCGCAUGGCACCAUGCGCCGUCGUAGUGGAUCAUCCAAACCUUCUCUGUGGAUGGGUCCGGCUAUGUUAUUGGCCCAGGCCAGUCGACGACGAAGUCUGCCAGAACUUGUGACUUGAUGGCUGUCCUGGGCUCGAAAUUGAUGUGGUAGCCGGAGAGUUCGACCACCCACUUGGCAAUCCUGACCGAUGCCUCUGGGUUUCUGAACAAUUUACCUAGUCCCCUAUCUGAGGUGACCCGGACCUUGAAUGCUUCAAAAUAAUGGCGCAAUUUGCGCGAAGACAUAACAACUGCAUAGGCAAUCUUCUCUAGUUCCGUCAUGUUACAUUUGGAUGGUGUUAGCACUUCGGAGACGUAAUAAACUGGGCACUGCCUGAUCACGCCCUCAACUGUCUGCUCCUGCACCAGUGCCGCGCUGACCGCAUGCGGCGAAGCCGCAACAUAGAGCAACAGGGGUAGCGAAGAGUCGGGGCUUGUAAGGACUGCCAACUCCGACAGGUACUGUUUUAAUGAGGCGAAGGCCGCUGCCUGCUCUGGUCCCCAAGCAAAGUCUUUUGCGCCACUGAGAGUUUUGAGGAAGGGGAGACUUCGCUCAGCGGAUUUGGAGAUGAAUCUGUUGAGGGCGGCCAAUCUGCCCGUCAGGCGCUGGACGUCUCUGGCUGACUACGGGGGCGUCAUGUUGAUGAUGGCCUGAAUUUUGGUUGGGUUGGCCUCGAUGCCGCGGUGUGAUACCAGGUAGCCCAAUAUUUUCCCCUGGCGAACGCCGAAGACGCACUUUUCGGGGUUCAGGCGAUGUCGUGCGUCCCGCAUGUUCGCGAAUGUCUCGGCGAGGUCAGCAAGAUGGUCCUCCUUGCUCCUGCUGGCGACGACGAUGUCGUCCACAUAUGUGAAUAUAUUUCUGCCGACUUGCCCCUCGAGCACUAUUUUGGUAAGCCGGGAGAAGGUGGACCCGACGUUCUUGAGUCCCUCCGGCAUUCUGAUGAAGCAAUAUGUGCCGAAGGGUGUUAUGAAGCUGGUGCUGGCCUUGUCUUCCUCCUUUAUAUAUAUUUGAUGGUAACCGGAGAAGCAGUCGAGGAGUGACAUGACUUCGCACCCGGCCGCGCUAUCGACUAUUUUGUCGAUCUGAGGCAGCGGGAAGUUGUCCUUUGGGCAGGCCUUGUUGAGACUGGUGAAGUCGAUGCACAUUCGCCACUUGCCGCUCUUUUUCUGCACCAUCACAACAUUGGAGAGCCACGUGGGGUAAGCCACUGGCUCGAUAAAUUUGGCUUCCAGGAGGCGAUGUACCUCGGCCUUGGCGGCUUCUAUCUUCUCGUCGAACAUUUUGUGGAGCCGCUGUUUUUUCGGUCUCACCGAAGGGUUGAUUCCCAAGCCGUGCUCAAUUAUGGAUCGGCUGACCCCGACCAGGUCGAGGGCGGACCAGGCGAAGACGUCUUUGUUCUUGGACAAGCAGCAGAGGAGUUUCUCCUUGUCAUGCGAAGUGAGGUCUUCACUGAUGGUGACUGUCUGCUUGGGCGUGGCCUGGUCGAGGGGAACAGUCUUGGUCCCGUCGUUGCUCUGCAGCUGUGCCUUGUCGUGUUCUUUGUCGGUUAGGCUGGCGGACGCAGGGACCUCGCGCUGGGCCGUGAGGCAGUGCACAUUUUUUUGCCCCGGGACGAAGUCCCGCUCUAUGUUGCGCGCGGUCUGCUGAUUGCCGUAGACCGUGAUGGCGCCUAACGGACCUGGUAUCUUCAUGCACAGGUACAGUCCGUGAAUGGCUGCCUCAAACUUGUUGAUGGAGCCCCGGCCCAUGAUGGCGUUGUACGGAUACACCAUAUCGACGAUAUCAAAGGUUAUUUGCUCACUUCGGGCAUUGGGUGCUACACCGAAGGAGAGAGGCAGUUCUAUUUUGCCGACCGGAAAGGUGCCCUUGCCACCGAAGCCAUACAACGGGUUGUCCGAAGGCUUGAGCAGGCUGUGGCUUAUGCCCAUGCGGUCGAAGGCAUGGAGGAAAAUGAUGUCUGCUUGACUGCCAUUGUCGACUAGGACUUUGUGCAGGUCCCAGCCUGCCACGCUGCAGUUGAUAACCAUGGCGUCGAUGUGGGGGGCGCUGCGCAGGUCGACGUCUCGGGCGUCGAAGGUAAGCGGUACGUGGGACCACUUCGUUUGCACGACUGGGCCGGUAAUGGCGACGUGGUUGAUGCUGCGGUAGUGGUCCCGCUUCUGCCGCUUUGUGUCGAAGUCGGUGCUGGACCCCCCAGUGAUCAUAUGAAUGACUCCACGAUACGGCUGAUCGGCGAAGUCUUCUUGUUUUGGGGCGUGAGGGUGGGGGAUGUUUUGUUGUUGCUGGUGUGGAGGUGGUGGUGGGGGAGGUACGAUUUGUACUUCCUGGUGGUGUUGGUAUGCAUGGUGCAGUGGAUGCGGGGCGGGGGCGUGGAUGUAUGGUGGAGGGGGUUGCUGAUAAGUGUGCGUGACAAUCUAGGGUUGUCGGCUGGCUGCGCCCGUGCCAUCCUAUCUUUGGUGGCCUUCGUCUCUGGGCAGUCUCUGGUUUGGUGGGCGCAGUCUUCGCCGUGAAAAAGAUAGUAGAAUCGGCGCGGCGGCUGCGCACGUCCCCGACCCCUACCGCGAGUUCCAUUUCCGCGGCCCUGGGGGGAUAUUCCUGGCGGCGAGGGGCGUCACUAGCGGGGUGCUGGUUGGCGAUGUUGUGCACCUGCUGCUGAUUACGGCCGUCUCGACCGGAGUCUGGCUGCGGAGUUCUCGUCCACAUGCGGCUGGACUGUGGAGCAUCUUUGGGUUUCCUCUGAGACUCAACCUUGCGCUGGUGGAGCUCUUCGGAUUUGGCGUAUUUUUCAAAUAGCUGAUAUAAUUCCUGGAGGUUCUUGGGCAGAUCUCUGAUGUAGUGGCUGUAAAGGACGCCGACGCGAAGGCCACUGCUGGCGUAGUGGAUGGCGAUCUGGUCAUCGACUGAGGGCAGCUAUGACUUGAGUGUUAGAAACUUGCGGUAAUACUCCCACAGAGUCUCUUUUUCCAGCUGCUUGCAGAGUGAGAGUUCGGCCAAGGCGUCGGUGUCUGGGCGGUACCCUUGGAAGUUGAGCAGAAAUUUGUCCCGGAAGCUUCUCUAGGAGUCAAUGGACAGCGGGGGCAACCUGGUGAACCAGGUGAGAGCUGGGCCCUCGAGGGCGAUGAUGAAAGACUUGGCCAUCGUGGCGUCGUCCCCUCCGGAAGAUGCAACGGCGACCUGAUAACUCAUGAUGUACUGUGCUGGGUCAGUGCUGCCGUUGUACUUAGGAUAGGUCCCUGCCCGGAAGUUGGCAGGCCAGGGUGUCACUUGCAAGUGUGGCGCCAGGGGACUUCGCUCGUCGAGGUAGUUGACCCCCUGGAAUGGCGCGGCGUGUGGGAAGGCGUGGUCGCGCUGGGGGAAGUGUAGGUCUUCCAUUUGCGCGCGCUGUUGCAGGGGUGGCCCGUGCUGCAGGCCGAGGUGGCCUUCGCGUAUGUCCUCCAGUUGUGCGCGCUGUUGCAGGGGUGGCCCGUGCUGCAGGCCGAGGUGGCCUUCGCGCUGCAUCAGCGCGAUCUCCUUCUCGAGGUCCUGGGCCUUCUGCUCUUCGUCGCGUAUCAUUUGCCGCACCUUGGCUAGUGCAGACACACGUUGGCGCUUGGCCUCCAGUAUCUCUUUUUGCCUCUGGAGAUUGCGGUUCUUGAUGCGCAAGGCGCGCAGCUGUAGCUGUUCUUCCGCUGAGACGCCGAGGACUUCGCUGUCCUCGGUGAGGUCCGCGCCCUACGGUGGGGCGAAGCCUAGGGGAGGUUGCGGUUGUCCUUCAGGGCCACAGGUGCGGAGGGUGUCGUCUUCAGUAGCCUCUUGGUGGGUGGAGUGGGUGAGGGCGAGGGCCUUGCCCUUUUUUGCGGCCAGCAAUGCUGCCUUCGCAGCCUCGUUAGCCUUCGAGCUAGCUUUCUUGGGUGCCAUCGCGGGUGGUUUUUUCGUAGCACGAACGGUGGGCGCCAAAUGUUGGAACUUGCUCUCCGGUGCAAGGUGAUCCAACGGGGGUGUGAAGUGACGUAAACAGGGUUUUCGCCCGAGAUGGCAAUAGCUCUGUUAAUCUAGCCUCUCAAGGGCGCUGUGCGGGGGUAUUUAUAGGUAUCCGGGUGCCCAGCGUCCCGCGUUAAGGACGCAUGUGCCCUCAGACACCUAGGUUAUCCACGGAAUAUUCCCAUAAAGCGGGGUUACAGACCAUAAUUACAGGGAGGCCUUUACAAAUUAGGCCCGUAACGCGCAACGGCCACGCAGGGCCUGUUACAAUGGGCCGGAUCACACGCGGGCCUCCAUUCUGGACGAGGUCGCAGGAUGAGACGACCUCGUCGCGGGUCUUCGCCCGGCGGCGUAUGAGACGAAGGGUAAGUCUGCCCGUUGUCUUGUCACCGUUGGUGCAGCGAGUACGGCGAAGGCCUCGAGCGAAGGGUGGCGUCUUCGCCUUCACCCCAACAGACAAAUAAAUAACUAAUUGAUCUUUAAUCUUGUUUAUAACUUGACUAGGGAUUAUAUUUUAGUCUUACUAUAGUUAUGGAUACAUUAACUUUGUUUAGAAGAUUUAAUCCACUAAGCAUAGGUUAAAUGAAUAUUUAUUUUUGACAACAUGUUAUUUGAUAAAGUAAUGUUAUGGAGGCGUAGGCAACAUUAUUGUGAAGCUAACGCAACUUGAAUGGAUCAAAUUGCGCUCAGAAUGAGAAAGUUGUGAAUUUUCUAUGUUUACCAUAUUUUAUUCUAUCCUGAAAAUCAUUUUAGAUUUUAAUUUCCCAACCCUGUGGAUGGCAGCUACAAUUUUUAUUAAAGACAGGGUCUAGUUCAUAAAGUUCUGGGGCCGUUUGUAAUGAAAUAUGAACUACACAGGACUACGGGUUAAUUGCGGAAAACCCCGAGGACUCAUACUGCAAAAAUACCACGCGACUUCAACGUGCUCGGUUCUGGGCCAUCCAUUUUAGGAUCUAAGGCCCAGAUUAGAUGAACUACCCCAGUGAACCGGUACACGACACAGGCCCUUAGUCUAAGAUCAGCGCCUCAUAUCUCUCCACGCCACUGAUCAAAUAAGAGCCCUCGGUCUCGCGAUGAACGGUGCAAGACUGAGACUACGAAAAGGUAUUCUCUGUCUAAUCUUGAUCGUCCAUCUAAAUCCAACGGCAAGGGCAUGUUCUUCUUCCUCCCCCAAGCGCCGGAUAUGGCAGCACAGUGCCCCCACGGCGGACGUCGCUGGCAAGCACCCCAUAAGUCGUCCCCACGCACGAAUCCCAACCCCGUAUGGCUCUAUAUGCACGCGGGACCAUAGCGAUUUGUUUGGGAGCAACAUACCCAAGCUGACAUGAUGCAGGGCUCCCUCCCAUGCCGCAAGCAGCCUUGCACGAUGCAAACUCCAUUAAGAAUUCCUUAUGACGCGAAGGGUCUUCCACAUCCAACGAACCUCGAGGAGCCUUCAUGUGUACCGGUGAUCCUACCAGAUCGUACCCCGAAGGCCGAGAUGCGGCGCGCGUGGACUGCUUGUUGCGGUUCUUUCUCUUUGGACGACUCGAUCUCCCUCCCUCUGCGAGACGCUUUUUCUUAGAUGUCUAUGGACAUGCAUUUGGUGCUAAGCUCUAGGGAUGCGUCUAGUU